GAUGAACGCUGGCGGCGUGCCUAACACAUGCAAGUCGAGCGAACAGACGAGGAGCUUUCUCCCCUGACGUUAGCGGCGGACGGGUGAGUAACACGUGGAUAACCUACCUCUAAGACUGGGGUAAUUUCGGGAAACCGGAGCUAAUACCGGAUAAUAUAUUGAACUGCAUGGUUCAAUAGUUAAAGUCGGUUUUGCUGUCACUUAUAGCUGAAUCCGCGCCGCAUUAGCUAGUUGGUAAGGUAACGGCUUACCAAGGCUACGAUGCGUAGCCGACCUGAGAGGGUGAUCGGCCACACUGGAACUGAGACACGGUCCAGACGCCUACGGGAGGCAGCAGUAGGGAAUCUUCCGCAAUGGGCGAAAGCCUGACGGAGCAACGCCGCGUGAGUGAUGAAGGUCUUCGGAUCGUAAAGCUCUGUUGUUAGGAAAGAACAAAUGUGUAAGUAACUAUGCAGGUCUUGACGGUACCGAAAGAAUAAGCCCCGGCUAACUACGUG
rnacentral:rRNA from 1 species